GACGAACGCUGGCGGCGUGCCUAACACAUGCAAGUCGAACGGGGAUAGGUUGAAGGUUUACCUGAUACCUAUUCUAGUGGCGAACGGGUGAGUAACACGUGGGUAACCUGCCCAUAAGAGGGGGAUAACAUCCGGAAACGGGUGCUAAUACCGCAUGGUUUUCUUGAUCGCAUGAUUGAGAAAGGAAAGGCGGCCUUUGUGCUGUCGCUUAUGGAUGGACCCGCGGCGUAUUAGUUAGUUGGUGAGGUAACGGCUCACCAAGACGAUGAUACGUAGCCGACCUGAGAGGGUGAUCGGCCACAUUGGGACUGAGACACGGCCCAAACUCC
rnacentral:rRNA from 1 species